GGGCCUGAAUCCUUGCUCAGCCUGAUGUAAAAAGGUGAGCAAAGUUUCAGGUGUGU
rnacentral:pre_miRNA from 1 species